rnacentral:rRNA from 1 species
GACGAACGCUGGCGGCGUGCUUAACACAUGCAAGUCGAACGGAAAGGCCCUGCUUUUGUGGGGUGCUCGAGUGGCGAACGGGUGAGUAACACGUGAGUAACCUGCCCUUGACUUUGGGAUAACUUCAGGAAACUGGGGCUAAUACCGGAUAGGAGCUCCUGCUGCAUGGUGGGGUUGGAAAGUUUCGGCGGUUGGGGAUGGACUCGCGGCUUAUCAGCUUGUUGGUGGGGUAGUGGCUUACCAAGGCUUUGACGGGUAGCCGGCCUGAGAGGGUGACCGGCCACAUUGGGACUGAGAUACGGCCCAGACUCCUACGGGAGGCAGCAGUGGGGAAUAUUGCACAAUGGGCGGAAGCCUGAUGCAGCAACGCCGCGUGCGGGAUGACGGCCUUCGGGUUGUAAACCUCUUUCGCCUGUGACGAAGCGUGAGUGACGGUAAUGGGUAAAGAAGCACCGGCUAACUACGUG